AUUGAACGCUGGCGGCAGGCCUAACACAUGCAAGUCGAGCGGAGCGGCGGACGGGUGAGUAAUGCCUAGGAAUCUGCCUGUUAGUGGGGGAUACCGUCCGGAAACGUGCGCUAAUACCGCAUACUAUCAGAUCAGCCUAGGUCGGAUUAGCUAGUUGGUGGGGUAAAGGCCUACCAAGGCGACGAGCCGUAACUGGUCUGAGAGGAUGAUCGGUCACACUGGAACUGAGACACGGUCCAGACUCCUACGGGAGGCAGCAGUGGGGAAUAUUGGACAAUGGGCGAAAGCCUGAUCCAGCCAUGCCGCGUGUGUGAAGAAGGUCUUCGGAUUGUAAAGCUCUGUAAGUAGGGAGGCGUUACCUACAGAGUAAGCACCGGCUAACUUCGUGCCAGCAGCCGCGGUAAUUC
rnacentral:rRNA from 1 species